rnacentral:rRNA from 1 species
AUUGAACGCUGGCGGCGUGCCUAAUACAUGCAAGUAGAACGCAGUUGCGAACGGGUGAGUAACGCGUAGGUAACUGCCUCAUAGCGGGGGAUAACUAUUGGAAACGAUAGCUAAUACCGCAUACUGUGAGAUGGACCUGCGUUGUAUUAGCUAGUUGGUGAGGUAAAGGCUCACCAAGGCGAAGAUACAUAGCCGGCCUGGGAGGGUGAUCGGCCAAACUGGGACGUGGACACGGCCCAGAAUCCUACGGGAGGGAGCAGUAGGGAAACUUCGGAAAAGGGCGGAAAGCUGACCGAACAACGCCGCGGGAGUGAAGAAAGUUUUCGGAUCGGAAAGCUCUGUUGGGAGAGAAGCGGUAACUAAACAGAAAGGGACGGCUAACUACGUGCCAGCAGCCGCGGUAAUUC